UACGGGGGGGGGCAAGCGUUUGUUCGGAAUUACUGGGCGUAAAGCGUGCGCAGGCGGUUAUGUAAGACAGAUGUGAAAUGCCCGGGCUUAACCUGGGAACUGCAUUUGUGACUGCAUGGCUAGAGUGUGUCAGAGGGGGGGUAGAAUUCCACGUGUAGCAGUGAAAUGCGUAGAUAUGUGGAGGAACACCGAUGGCGAAGGCAGCCCCCCUGGGAUAACACUGACGCUCAUGCACGAAAGCGUGGGGAGCAAACAGG
rnacentral:rRNA from 1 species